rnacentral:rRNA from 1 species
GACGUAGGGCGCGAGCGUUGUCCGGAAUUAUUGGGCGUAAAGAGCUCGUAGGCGGCCUGUUGCGUCCGCUGUGAAAGCCCCGGGGCUUAACCCCGGGUCGGCAGUGGAUACGGGCAGGCUAGAGGUAGGUAGGGGAGAAUGGAAUUCCCGGUGUAGCGGUGAAAUGCGCAGAUAUCGGGAGGAACACCGGUGGCGAAGGCGGUUCUCUGGGCCUUACCUGACGCUGAGGAGCGAAAGCGUGGGGAGCGAACAGG